rnacentral:rRNA from 1 species
GACGAACGCUGGCGGCGUGCCUAAUACAUGCAAGUCGAACGCAGUGGGGACGGGUGAGUAACACGUGGGUAACCUCCCAUCAGAGGGGAUAACACUUGGAAACAGGUGCUAAACCGAUACUGAUGGAUGGACCCGCGGUGCAUUAGCUAGUUGGUGAGGUAACGGCUCACCAAGGCCACGAUGCAUAGCGGACCUGAGGGGUUGGUAGGCCAAACAGGGACAGAGCAACGGCCCAGACUCCUGCGGGAGGCAGCAGUAGGGAAUCUUCGGCAAUGGACGAAAGUCUGACCGGGCAACGCAGCGUGAGUGAAGAAGGUUUUCGGAUCGUAAAACUCUGUUGUUAGGGAAGCGGUAUCUAACCAGAAAGCCACGGCAAACUACGUGCCAGCAGCCGCGUAAUAC